CGCUCACCUUGGUCUAUGUGAAUAUUAAACAAAGGAAGCAGAUGGAUUCAUGACAAAAUUGUGUUUUGGUGAUGGUGAUGUGUUUGUACAUCUUACUUUACUAAACAUUCUUGCUGCUUACAAUUAUCUCUAUCUAUAAUGAACUUGGCCCAGUAGUUUCAGUGGAAAAUGUUAGUAAAAAUUUACAAAUUUUAUGAAAAUUGUUAAAAAUUGACUAUAAAGGACAUUAACUCCUUAGGGGGUCAAUUGAUAAUUUUCGUCAUGUUGACUUAUUUUUAGGUCUUACUUUGCUG
rnacentral:lncRNA from 1 species